UACAUUGUGGUGUAGGUGCAACGUAAGUUUUUGAUACUUGAGGAAUAGGUUCAAAGCCUUUCUUUGUAA
rnacentral:tRNA from 1 species